CUCCCCGACACCUGGAUGACUCCUCUUGGCUACCUGGGGGCUGGCAUUGUGGGAGGCAGCCGACGCCAGUGGGUGCUGCUGGGAUCCCUGCCCACACCCAGCAGUUGCCUGGAGAUGGAGGUAUGCCAGGUAUGUGGGCCAACAGCUGCAGAGUUGCCACUGACAGGCCGGAGGAGGAUUCUUUGUCAGUGACCGCACCAGACCGAGCCCCUGCCAGCUGUCCCACUCAGUAUGCCCUGGCUUCCAGGGCCCCAGCCAAGGAAGGGUGUGGACAUGUGAUACAGUGGUGGCCACAAGGCAGGGGUCAAGGGGAAGGCAGGCCGAUACUAGCAACAGAGGAAAUGACACUUCAGAAGCGUCCUCUCUUACAAACAAGAGCAACUGUGUGUGUCCCAGUGAGUAUGGGAAGCUCAGUCUCCUAACAUCAUUCAAGGGUCUCCAAGUGACUGUGCAUACAGUUUUAAAAAUAUCACCGAACUUGUUUUUCUUACCCCAGCCAUUUUUUAUAACUAUAUCUAGGGAAUGGGUUGGUUGACUCUAAAGAGCAAGGAACUAAAGAAAAGAUAAACAUGGACUUCCGUCCGUGGGGGGAGCUGCGGCGGUGGCGGUGCAGGAGGCCGGGCAGGGGUGCGGAGGGACCGACGGACGCACGGGCGGGCGGCCGGGAGCCAUGGAGCGCGGCCCUGGGGCCCGGGGGCACGGGCCGGGGUGGGCUUCCCACGGCACGACAUGGAGACCUGUGGUUGCGAGGCUCCCUGGGGCUCGGCUUGGACCGCGAUGGGGCUGGGCCCUGGCCUCCUAACGGGGCUGCUAUCUGGGGCGGUAGCUGGGGGGUCGCUCUCCCCACUGCCCGCGACUCGGAGCACCCCCACCCUCCCCUGCCGGGCCAGGCCGGGCGGCGUUGUUGGCGGGGGCCCCGGUGGAGGCCCGGCCCGGGCGGCGCCCGCCAUGAACGGGCUGUCGCUGAGUGAGCUCUGCUGCCUCUUCUGCUGCCCGCCCUGCCCCGGCCGCAUCGCUGCCAAGCUCGCCUUCCUGCCGCCGGAGGCCACCUACUCCCUGGUGCCUGAGCCCGAGCCGGGGCCUGGUGGGGCCGGGGCCGCCCCCUUGGGGACCCUGCGGGCCUCCUCGGGCGCACCCGGGCGCUGGAAGCUGCACCUGACGGAGCGUGCCGACUUCCAGUACAGCCAGCGCGAGCUGGACACCAUCGAGGUCUUCCCCACCAAGAGCGCCCGCGGCAACCGCGUCUCCUGCAUGUAUGUUCGCUGCGUGCCUGGUGCCAGGUACACGGUCCUCUUCUCGCACGGCAAUGCCGUGGACCUGGGCCAGAUGAGCAGCUUCUACAUUGGCCUGGGCUCCCGCCUCCACUGCAACAUCUUCUCCUACGACUACUCCGGCUACGGUGCCAGCUCGGGCAGGCCUUCCGAGAGGAACCUCUAUGCCGACAUCGACGCCGCCUGGCAGGCCCUGCGCACCAGGGGCUCUCGGGCCUUUGGCCACAGACUGAAGACUGCAUUGUUUACUUCCCAACUUUCGAGGUUUUGGGACUCAGACUGAUGCACCACCGGCUUCCUUGCUCCUCAACGUGCAGAUGGCCUAUCAUGGGAAUUUAUCUUGUAAUCAUAAGAAGAAACUGAAGUUGGAAAGAUCAACAAGCUUACCUGAAGUCACAGGGCGGGAGAGUAAAGGAGCAGAAUUUUCAACCUAAGUUUAUAUGAUUCUAAAAUUUUCCACUACCAUGCUACUAAAAGAAAUUACUCAACUAGUUCUUCCUGUUCAGCUGCUAAUAAAGACAUACCCAAGACUGGGACAUUUAUAAAGGAAAAAGGUUUAAUUGACUCACAGUUCCGCAUGGCUGUGGGGGCCUCAGGAAACUUACAAUCAUGGCAGAAGGGGAAGCAAAUAUGUCCUUCUUCACAUGGCGGCAGCAAAGAGAGGUGGCAGAAAGGAGGGAAAAGCCCCUUAUAAAACCAUCAGAUCUCAUGAAAACUCACUGACUAUCAGGAGAACAGCAUGGAGGUAACUGCUCCCAUGAUAAAAUCACCUUCCACCAGGUCCCUCCCAUGUCAGGUGGGGAUUAUGGGAACUACAGCUCAAGAUGAGAUUUGGGUGGAGACGUAGCCAAACAUAUCGUUAUCUUGAUAAGAUAUUGCUUUGGAUUGAAUUGUGUCCCUGCAAAAAUCUUAUGCAUAAAAGUUCUGAUCCCUGAUGUGACUGUUUUUGAAGACAGGCAGGGCCUUUAGUAGGCACUUAAGGUCAAAUUAGGUCAUAUGGGUGGGACCUCAGUCUACUAGGACUGGUGGCUUUAUACUGAAAGAAAGAGACAGAUGUCUCUCCCCUCGACCUCACAUGUAUAAAGGCCACAUAAGGAAAAAGCAGCCCAAGCCGGUAAGAGGCCCCAACAGACGCCAAACCCUUCCAGCUUCAUGAUCUUGGACUUCACUGCCCCCAAAACUGUAACAGAAUGAAAUUCUGCUGCUUAUGCCAUCCAGUCUGUGGCAUUUAGUUACGCCAGCCUGCACUGGCUAAUGCAGAUAUUCAGAAUCAAAUGAGUCAUCCCAAGCAAUUUCUCAGUAUAUACAGCACAGAUUUCACCUUCUAAACUCACCCUUGUCUUCGACUUUUUUUUUUUUUUUUUUUUUUUUUUUGAGACGGAGUCUCACUCUAUCGCCCAGGCUGGAGUGCAGUGGCGCGAUCUCGGCUCACUGCAAGCUCCGCCUCCCGGCUUCACGCCAUUCUCCUGCCUGAGCGUCCCGAGUAGCUGGGACUACAGGCGCCCGCCACCACGCCUGACUAGUUUUUUUUUUUUUUUAAUAUUUAUAUUUUUAGUAGAGAUGGGGUUUCACCGUGUUAGCCAGGAUGGUCUCAAUCUGCUGACCUCGUGAUCCGCCCGCCUCGGCCUCCCAAAGUGCUGGGACUACAGGCAUGAGCCACCACGCCUGGCCAGUUUUUCUUAAUUAUUAAAUAAUCUUUCAUUGAUUUAAGAAAUAUUUUCAUAUGGUUCCUAUUCAGGCCCAGGCAUUGUUUUUUUGUGCUGCAGACAAUGUGUUAAUAAAAGCUGUCCAGUCUUGUUAGUACAUCAUGAUAUUUAUAUUUGACAAAUCCUCUACUUAGAUAUGUAUCACCUCCAUAAUUUUUUGGAACACAUAAAUUUUUUGAACCAAAUGGAAUAAAAAGCUAGAUAUAUAGGUAUAAUGAAUAUAUUUGAAACUUUGUACUUUGCUUUACAAUUUGCAAAAGAACAUCGUAUACAGUGUUGUAUUUGAGUCUCCCUUAAGCCCUAUUAAGAAGAAAUUUUUCUAUUUCUGCUGUUCAGUGAAGAAAAUGAGCAAAAAAAGGUGCAGCAACUUCCCAAUAUCCCAUACUUACAAACAUAAAGGAGUGGGACUUUAAUGUAGACUCUUGGUGUCCAAGUUUGUGCUCUUUAUGCUUCAUGACACCAGGUAAAGUGCAAUGAGCACAGCAAAUGUGCCCCCUCAGGAGCCAGCUAAGACCUUCCGGGGGCUUCUCCUGGAAGUACAGAGUCUGCGACCCCCAUCCUAAAUACACAAGCAUUGGCAUCACUGUCUCACAGUAAAACAAAACAAAACAAAACAAACAAACAAACAAAAAAACAAAGAAAAAAACAAAUACAAUCUGUUCAGCAGAGUAAUUGUACAUAACACAAAAGAACUUCUGGGAAAAACACGGAACGCAUAUUGAAGUCAGAGGCUCAGUCAUGUGAAAAUAAAAGGUCUUGUUGGGUGCCUAA